CAAAAACAUGGUUUUUUGUUUUAUAUAAAAAAUCUGGCCUGCUCAGUGAGUUUUAAAUAGCUGCAGUAUUUUGACUGUACAAAGGUAGCAUAAUCACUUGUCCUUUAAUUGAGGUCUGGAAUGAAUGGUUUGAUGAAAAAUAUACUUUAUUUAUUUUUAAGAAAAAAUUUAAUUUUUGAGUAAAAAAGCUUGAAAAUUUUUUUAUAGGACGAGAAGACCCUAUAGAGCUUUAUUUUAUUAUUUUUGUAUUAUAUUAGGUUAUAUAUUUUUAAUAAAAAUGGUGAAAUUUUGUUGGGGUGACAAAAAAAAUAUAAUAACUUUUUUUAAUUAUUACAUUAAUUAAUGUAUUUUUGAUCCUUUUUUUGGAAAAAAGAAUAAGCUACCUUAGGGAUAACAGCGUUAUUAUUUUGGAGAGUUCAUAUCGAUGAAAUAGUUUGCGACCUCGAUGUUGGAUUAAAAUAAGAUAUAGAAGUAGAAUGUUAUAUUCUUGGUCUGUUCGACCUUUAAAUUUUUACAUGAUCU
rnacentral:rRNA from 1 species